AUUGAACGCUGGCGGCAGGCCUAACACAUGCAAGUCGAACGAGUGGCGGACGGGUGAGUAAUGUCUGGGAAACUGCCUGAUGGAGGGGGAUAACUACUGGAAACGGUAGCUAAUACCGCAUACCAUCAGAUGUGCCCAGAUGGGAUUAGCUAGUUGGUGGGGUAACGGGUCACCAAGGCGACGAUCCCUAGCUGGUCUGCGAGGAUGACCAGCCAAACUGGAACUGAGACACGGUCCAGACUCUGACGGGAGGCAGCAUGGGGGAAUAGUGCACAAUGGGGUCAAGCCUGAUGCAGCCAUGCCGCGUGUAUGAAGAAGGCCUUCGGGGUGUAAAGUACUUUCAGCGUGGAGGCGUUACCCGCAGAAGAAGCACCGGCUAACUCCGUGCCAGCAGCCGCGGUAAUAC
rnacentral:rRNA from 1 species